UCUCCUGGAAAACGGGUGGUAAUGCCGGAUGCUCCAGUUGACCGCAUGGUCCUCUGGGAAAGCUUUUGCGGUAUGGGAUGGGGUCGCGUCCUAUCAGCUUGAUGGCGGGGUAACGGCCCACCAUGGCUUCGACGGGUAGCCGGCCUGAGAGGGCGACCGGCCACAUUGGGACUGAGAUACGGCCCAGACUCCUACGGGAGGCAGCAGUGGGGAAUAUUGCACAAUGGGCGCAAGCCUGAUGCAGCGACGCCGCGUGCGGGAUGACGGCCUUCGGGUUGUAAACCGCUUUUGACUGGGAGCAAGCCCUUCGGGGUGAGUGUACCUUUCGAAUAAGCACCGGCUAACUACGUGCCAGCAGCCGCGGUAAUACGUAGGGUGCAAGCGUUAUCCGGAAUUAUUGGGCGUAAAGGGCUCGUAGGCGGUUCGUCGCGUCCGGUGUGAAAGUCCAUCGCUUAACGGUGGAUCCGCGCCGGGUACGGGCGGGCUUGAGUGCGGUAGGGGAGACUGGAAUUCCCGGUGUAACGGUGGAAUGUGUAGAUAUCGGGAAGAACACCACC
rnacentral:rRNA from 1 species